rnacentral:rRNA from 1 species
UACGAAGGGGGCUAGCGUUGUUCGGAAUCACUGGGCGUAAAGGGCGCGUAGGCGGCCGUUCAAGUCGGGGGUGAAAGCCUGUGGCUCAACCACAGAAUGGCCUUCGAUACUGGACGGCUCGAGACCGGAAGAGGUCAGUGGAACUGCGAGUGUAGAGGUGAAAUGCGUAGAGAUCCCCAAGAACACCAGUUGCGAAGGCGGCCGACUGGACACAUAUUGACGCUGAGGCUCGAAAGCAUGGGGAGCAAACAGG